GACGUAGGAUGCAAGCGUUGUCCGGAAUUAUUGGGCGUAAAGAGCUCGUAGGCGGUUUGUUAAGUCUGGUGUUAAAUACCGAAGCUCAACUUCGGCAUGGCAUCGGAUACUGGCAGGCUAGAGUGCGGUAGAGGUCUCGGGAAUUCCAGGUGUAGCGGUGAAAUGCGUAGAUAUCGGAAAGAACACCAGUGGCGAAGGCGACUUACUGGGCUAAGAUUGACGCUGAGGUGCGAAAGCGUGGGGAGCAAACGGG
rnacentral:rRNA from 1 species